GGCCCCUUCGACUAGCGGUCAGGUCACCGCUCUUUCACAGCGGCGGCACGGGUUCGAGUCCCGUAGGGGUCACCA
rnacentral:tRNA from 1 species